rnacentral:rRNA from 1 species
AUUGAACGCUGGCGGCAUGCCUUACACAUGCAAGUCGAACGGCAGCACGGGUGCUUGCACCUGGUGGCGAGUGGCGAACGGGUGAGUAAUACAUCGGAACGUACCUUAUCGUGGGGGAUAACGCAGCGAAAGCUGUGCUAAUACCGCAUACGCCCUGAGGGGGAAAGCGGGGGAUCGCAAGACCUCGCGCGAUUAGAGCGGCCGAUGCCUGAUUAGCUUGGUGGUGGGGUAAAAGCCCACCAAGGCGACGAUCAGUAGCUGGUCUGAGAGGACGAUCAGCCACACUGGGACUAAGACACGGCCCAGACUCCUACGGGAGGCAGCAGUGGGGAAUUUUGGACAAUGGGGGCAACCCUGAUCCAGCAAUGCCGCGUGAGUGAAGAAGGCCUUCGGGUUGUAAAGCUCUUUUGUCAGGGAAGAAACACCGGCUCUAACACAGUCUGGGAAUGACGGUACCUGAAGAAUAAGCACCGGCUAACUACGUGCCAGCCGCCGCCGUAA